CGAAGUAAUAGUUUAAUAAAAAUAUUAACUUUGGAAGUUAAUGAUUAGAAUUUUACUUUCUAUUCUUCGA
rnacentral:tRNA from 1 species